rnacentral:tRNA from 2 species
GUUUACAUACUAGCCUAAUUGGUCAGGCCCUUGGCUUAAACCCAAGUAUAUGCAGGUUCAAAUCCUGUGUGUGAACA